UUUUGCUAUACCAGCUGCUGCCCCAGCUGAUGCUGUACAGGGUGUUGGUGGUGGAGGAGGAAGUGUUGGGGAACUCAGGGUUCAUUGGGAGAAAUUACCUAUAGGACAACACGGUGGACCCGGUCUACAUUAUAAAGUUUACUGGAGAAAGAAAGAUAAUAUUUAUGGCAAAUGGCUUGUAUCGGAUCCACCUGUAGCAGGUGAAAAGGAAGUAUUUAUCACUAUAAUAGAAUAUCAGUAUUAUUAUACCGAGUAUGAAGUGAAAGUAGGAGUAGUAAAUGAUCUGGGAGCUGGACCAAACACUACAGUAGUUGUUAUAUUUUCAGCCGAGGAUAUGCCACUUGCAACACCGGCUAACGUGAAUGGCGCGGAGCUUAACGCCACAGCAGCUGACAUAUUCUGGGAUCCAUGUCCAGACGAUCGGGAACAUAUGAAAGGCCGUGUUCUAGGCUAUCAGGUCAAUUAUUGGCUGGAGGGUAUGACGUACCAAGAUGCCCUGUUUAGUCGCCAUCUUGGACAAGCCGAUUUCGGUCGGAUAAUCGGACUGGAUGAGAAUUCUGACUACUGGGUGAACGCCCAAGUGUACAAUACAGCAGGUUUAGGACCAAAAAGUGAAGAUGCCAGAGUUUCAACUUGGGCGUCGCCACCGUUUUUAUAUCCUGAAUAUGUGAAUGUAACAUCUCGAGAUGAGAGCAGUAUCAAUGUCUGGUGGAGAGGUAUAAGCACUACAAUACUAGAGGAGGCUCUCAGAGGAUAUAAGCUGCGUUACUGGGAAUCGUCACAAAAUAUGAAUACAGCCCAGGAAGUGGUUGUAGGCAAGGUAACCCAUGCUGUAAUACCCAACGUAGAGAGGGGAAUCACCUACAGUCUACGUGUGUUGGGCUAUAGUUAUGGUGGAGAUGGCAAGAAAUCGCCUACCGUGUAUUUUACUUUAGGUGGACAACUGCAAGGGGUAGAUCUCUACACCACUGAAAUUCUGGCUAGAGGUUUUACCACCCGGAUGUCGCUAACUCUAAUUAUAACGAGCUUAAUCAGCACUUGGUUUUUCUAACCAUGACAAC